rnacentral:lncRNA from 1 species
GUCUAAAUGAGCUCCCUGGCUUGUCUCCCUCCCCAAAUAUAUACACACAAUGACAGGUUAAGAUAAAAAUUCGUUUUAAAAGCAGCAAUUUUUUUUAUUUGACAACUAGAAAUAAGACUUUUAAAAUGCCCAUGUCUCUUUCUAGUCUAUUAACAACACAACAAUGAUGGGGAUGACCCUUUUAUAUUGUAAAUAGGACCAUGUUAUUCCUCUGCUCCAAACUUUCCAAAGUCUUUCCAUCUCAUGCAGAAUUAAAUGUCCUUACUAUGGCUUAAAAGGCCCGGCAGAAUUUGCCCUCUGUCCAUUCUCUUUGAAUUCAUCUUCUAUAUUCUUCCCCUUAAUCUCUCUAUUCCAGCCAGACCAAAAUUUCUCUUCCUUCAACACAGUCCUGCCUUAGGAUCUUACAGAGAACUUGCUUCCCCCAUCUGGAAUGCUCUUUCUUCAGCUAUCUACAUGGCUCAUUCUUUCAUCCUCUUUAAGGUUUUGCUUAAACGUUCCCUUCUCUGAUCAUGCUAUUUAAAAUUUCUGCCCUUUCUCCCACCCUUCCUGCCCUUAUUCCCUUUUCUCCACAGUGCUUAUCACUCUCUGGUAUACUAUGUGUUUUAUCUAUUUAUUUUUUUACUGUCUAUUCCCCACUAAAAAGUAAACUCCUCAUGGAUAGUGGGUUUUGACCAUUUUGGUCAUAGUAUAUCUCUAUUACAUAGAAGAGUGCCCGGAACAUAGAAAAUGCUCAGUAAAUCUUUGUUGAAAGAAUUACUACUGUUUUAUCUGAUGUUAAAACAUGUAUCACUUAUAUAAGCAUGAAACUGUCAGUCUAUCCCUAAUCUGGAAGAUUCUCAAACAUGAAGAGCCAAGGGGAUAAGAAAGUUGUUGCUAAAUCCGCAUCCAUUAGGCACUUUAAUUAGAUUCUUUAUUCACUUUUAAAAAUAUUGAACUGUCUAAAGACAUGCCAAUGCCUUGAGUAUACCAACAAUGAUUCACCUGGGAUAAUUCGUCUUGUUCUACAUUCCACACCCAUCCCCAAUAAUGAAAACUGAAACAGUAUGAAAUAGCACAGAUAUAAUGCCCUCAUAUCACUAUCUACUGGAGUUGUCCAUUUUGAAAAUAUUGUUGUUACACUUGGAAUGUAGUAUGUAUCAGCUACAUAGUAACUCUGCCCAGGUUAGUUGAAGAAUAAAACAUUGAGGGAUCCCACUGAAAAGUAUCUUCUUUAAAGCAUGCAUUGGAGAAUUAGCAGGAGUGAAUCAAGUUUUUCUUGCUUAUUCUUUUACGUCUGGACAAUGAUUUACUUGGUGUCUUGUAGAUUUGUCUAUGUUCAUUUUAUCCUCAGGACUUUCUUCAGUGCAACCUUCAUUUCUUUGUUUCCUAAACU